AACUUAAAGUUCUAUUAGGGAAUUUCCUGCUUACACUGGGAGGGUUCCUGUGCGAUUCAGGAUUGGUUGA
rnacentral:tRNA from 2 species